rnacentral:rRNA from 1 species
GACAGAGGGGGGCAAGCGUUGCUCGGAAUCACUGGGCGUAAAGGGCGCGUAGGCGGGAUGGCAAGUCGGUCGUGAAAUCCUUCGGCUCAACCGAAGAACGUCGGCCGAUACUGCCGUGCUUGAGGACUGGAGAGGAGACUGGAAUUUACGGUGUAGCGGUGAAAUGCGUAGAUAUCGUAAGGAAGACCAGUGGCGAAGGCGGGUCUCGUGGACAGUUCCUGACGCUGAGGCACGAAGGCCAGGGGAGCAAACGGG